UAAAAGUUUAAAAACAGACCAGGAAGUAAACAUGAUGGCACAAGUGACCUCAGUAUUGUGGAGAACAGAGGUUUGAAAGCAAAAACAGUAACAAAGAAGCAAAAGCAAUAAAUUGAGUAAAGCACAGCACCUGGUAUUGAAGAUAUGGAAUGCUCAAAUAUAAAGACAGAGGAGACCAUACAAAGGCACUCAAGAACCAGAAAGAGAGUAUAGAGGGAUCAGGAUAACCUGACACUGCUAGUCACAGAGAAGGAAAUUGAACAUCAAGGAGAAAGAGAAGUAAACUAGAGAGAAGUAAUACCAGUGAAUUUUAAGGUAAAAAAGAAUGGGAACUCCCUCUGGGUAUUUUCACAUAGAAUCAUGCUUAAAAAAGCAGAUAAAA
rnacentral:lncRNA from 1 species